GGUGUGGUUGACCCCGUGGAUAGGUGUGGUUGACCCCGUGGCUAGGUGUGGUUGACCCCGUGGCUAGGUGUGGUUGACCCCGUGGAUAGGUGUGGUUGACCCCGUGGCUAGGUGUGGUUGACCCCGUGGCUAGGUGUGGUUGAGCCCGUGGAUAGGUGUGGUUGACCCCGUGGAUAGGUGUGGUUGACCCCGUGGCUAGGUGUGGUUGAGCCCGUGGAUAGGUGUGGUUGACCCCGUGGAUAGGUGUGGUUGACCCCGUGGAUAGGUGUGACGCUGUCUGCAAAGAGCUGUGAUUGGUUGUGAAAAGAAACAACAAGACACAAAUGCUCUCCUAGUAAUCAAUGGAGAGAAAUUAAUUAAAUUAAAUUAAUCGAUAGAAUUUAGACUGAAUUCAGAAAUGUGUAUAUCAUGAAGAUAAAACGCAAGAUCAAUUGUCACACAGCAUCAAAAUGAUUAUUAAUCCCAAAGGGAAAUUAAAUAAAGUAUUUUUGAAUUGAAUUGAAAAUGUUUUAACGUAGCUUAUUUACAUGCUCGUCAUUGGUUUGGUUUUCUUAUGUUUACUCGCUGUGCUGGUCGUUUUCAUCCUGCAUCUGUUUCAUAUUAAUUUCAUAUUAAAAUUCAGCAUCUUACUGUGAUCUCCUUGUAUAAAGAGGUUUAGUUUGGUAAAAUGACCAAAUCACAACGGAGUAAAAAAGGUGAAGAAAAGCGAACUGGACAGAGGCACAGAGCCUGCUAGUGGAGGAGAAGAGAGGAUCGUUGAAAGGUAGAUUUGGUCCUGGGAUCAUGGUGGAAACAAACGGGCAUUACUGAGCAGAUCAAUGCGUCGUUCCCUCUGCUUUCAGGACCAGCCUGGAAUGUGAGCAGCUCUGGUUCCUCCUGCAUUCAGAAGCUACAGAGGAGAUAGCAGCACACCAGAGGACUUUUCCAUAGACUGGGAGCGUUGAAGAUGACUAUUUAGGCUUAGGCUGCUGACAUCAUCAUGAACAAUACAGCAAAUACUUCUUCACCUCAUUUACAUCAUCCUUCUAUGUAUAAAGUCCUUAGAUUAUUACUAUAUCUUGUCUAGAGAUUGUAUUUAUGUAUAAAUAUUUUUUCAAGUUUUUCCAUUUUUAUUCCAAAUUUAAUUUUUUUUUAAAGCAUUUUACAGUCUGUAAAUAUUUAAAUAAUUCUGUACAAUAUUGUUUGUAAUUUUGGUCACUUUUUAUUCAUGGUUAUUUAAUAUUUCCAUUAUUUUUUUCUCCUUAUAUUACCUUACUAGAGAUUGACCUUUACCCUGUCCUGCUGCUGAAACUAUUUCAUUUAUCCCUAGGGGGCAAUAAAGUUAAUCUUAUCUCUA